rnacentral:lncRNA from 1 species
GAUGGGGGUGAAACCCGACCAGUACUCCAAGACGCGCAAGCAAGCGCCAAGCGGGGAACUCCGCGGGAAACCGGACCGGAACUCAAGUGUGCAGAGCUCUGCUUCGCUAGGAAUCCUUCUUCUCCAAAUGACCUACCUUUAAUGAGUGGGGGGUGCCCUCUAUUUAUAGGGGUUCUUAUGGGGUCAAUCUGGUCAUUUGGGCAGUAACCGCCUAACUGCCUAACUGAUCAGAUUGGGUCCAGGGGUCGACUUUCCNN